AGAGGCACCUGGGAGAGUCCAGAGUGAACAUUGUCAGACUGAGCUGGGCCAUGUGAGGAGAGAGAAGCAGGGAAAGCAAGGGAGGAUCUACUAACAAAGAGCGGAAACCUGGGCUAACAGAUGAUGCAGCCCAAAUGGAGCCAGAGAAACUGAGGGAAGGGAAAACCCAGCCCAGUCUCUUGGCUGAAGAGGUACAGCAUGGAGUAUGCCAGCCAGGAGGACCCUGGAACAGCUCCUGCCUCCAGGUUCCUGCCCUCUGUGAGUUCCUGUCCUGACUUCCUUUGAUGAUGAACAGUGAUGUGGAAGAGUGAGACAAAUAAACCCUUUCUUCGAU
rnacentral:lncRNA from 1 species